rnacentral:tRNA from 1 species
UCCCUGGUGGCUCAGAUGGUAAAGAAUCUGCCUGCAAUGCAGGAGACUUGGGUUCGACUCCUGGGUUGGGAA